rnacentral:lncRNA from 1 species
UCAAGCUUCGUUUUUUUUGCUUUUUACAAUAAGUGUUGCUACUGCUCAGUCUUUGAGUCCACGCUACUUUUAUGAGCUGUAACACUCACUACAAAGGUCUGCAGCUUCACUCUUGAAGCCAGCGAGACCACUGAGCUCACCGGGAGGAACAAACAACUCCGGACGCACUGUCUUAAGAGCUAUAACACCGCCAAGGUCUGCAUCUUCACUUCUGAGCCAGCGAGACCACGAACCCACCAGAAGGAAGAAACUCGGAACACAUCUGAAUAUCAGAAGGAACAGACUCCAGACGCGCCACCUCAAGAGCUGUAACACUCACGGCGAGGGUCCGCGGCUUCAUUCUUGAGGGCAAAAUCUUUUUCCCUUGAAGACUGGAAAUAUUAUCCAUGUUGUCCUCCGGAAUAUUUUCAAUGACUUGUGCCCUGCCAGCUCUAGCUUUUGAAGGGUCUACACUCAUCAUCAACAGAUUCUGGGGGUUCAUGCACAGAUUUCUUACCUGGGUAUAUUGUGUGAUGCUGAGCUUUGGAGUUCAACUGAUUUCAUCACCCAGCAACCAGCCCAGGAAGCCAGCCCAUUAUCCAGAGGAACCAACCAAGGAAGCCAGCCUGCUCUCUAGAAGCUAGACUUGUAGGAAGCCAGACCACUGUCUCUAGCAACUGAUCCAGGAAGACAGAAAAGAACACCUCAAUAACAGGACCAAAGUGGCCAGGACUUGACUGAUGAGUAACUGACAGCUUCCCUAAUUUUUGGCCCUACUUCCAACAGAAGAA